rnacentral:lncRNA from 10 species
CUGCCCCGCGGCGGGAACGCGGCCGUGAGGGUGUGGGGUGUAGGUCCGCCAGGCCUGCAACGGCUGCCGAGGGUCGUGGGAUGCGCUCGCCGCGUCCCUGCUCAGGCGGAGGGAGCCCGGCCCGCCGCCAGGGUCUCGAGUCCGGGUCCAGGCAGGCGUGGAGGUGGCGGGAACGGCGCACCGCCCGGGUGGGCGUUGUUUUAAGGCCGCAGGGCUUGGGAGGCUUGUGUUGAGUUACAGGUCGGCCCGUAGAUCCCCGGAAGCGCCUUUGGUUGCCAGCAGGUGUCGGCGAGGGUCUUCAGUGGCCACCCUCCUGGUGGUGAUGUUUCCGUUUCUUUCCAACAGGAGUAUGACAACUUUUCAACUUGAGUGCACACACUGUCCCCGGAAUCCCGCGUUCCAGGGAGGAAGCGCCUUUGACAGCGCGCGCCGGUUCGUGGGGCCCGACGGCGUGGGCCUGUGGUUGCGGACCUGGCGGAGAUGCGCGUUCGCUUCGAUUGUAGGCCAUUCCUUUUAGGAGCUGAGAAAGGAUCCGUUUUUACAGCAUUCUCGACCUGUGAUUCUUGGUGGGGGAAACUAGUUAUGUGGAUAAAAAUACAGUUAGCAAAAUAAAAAUGCCAAUUUUACAUUUC